rnacentral:rRNA from 1 species
CGUAAGUAAGUAAGAUCCCUGAAAGAUGAUCAGGUAGAUAGGAUGGAAGUGGAAGUGCUGUGAGGCAUGGAGCGGACCAUUACUAAUCGAUCGAGGACUUAACCAAG